rnacentral:lncRNA from 10 species
UUUAUCAUUAACCAAACUGCACUGAUGCUAAAAGUCAAUAAAGCCAAGUAUUAAGUUGGAGCAAAAGUAAUUGCAGUGUGUGCCAUUACUUUUAAAUGGGAAGCACUGCAAUUACUUUUGCACCAAACCAACAGCAUCAAUCUUGCCUGCAUCUUAAGCAAAGGCUUAAUGAGAAAAAAAACAUACUUGAGACUACUAAAGCAUUAUACAGUCAGUCCUCAUUACUAGCAGAUUCUGUAUUUGUAAAUAUGCCCAUCACCUAAAAUCUGUUUGUGACCCUCAAAUUAAUACUCCCAAAUGUUUGCAGUCAUCAUAGACAUGGCAGGACAGUGGACAACUGGAGUUUCCCAACAAGCACGUUCCCAGGUGGCGUCUAACUAAACAACACUCUGCUUUUUUGUUUCAGUUUUCAUACUGUAAGGAAGCACCCUUUCCACAGUCUUUUUAGUGCCACAAGUUUCGCAUUUUUGUGUCUUUUUGUGUCUGUGUGUGCACCUGCAUGCGUGUAUGUGUGUGUGAGUGACUUCACUAUUUAAAAUGGUCCAAGCCAGGUGCAGUGGCUCAUGCCUGAAAUCCCAGCACUUUGGGAGGCUAAGGCAAGAGAAUUGCUUUGUGACAGGAGUUCAAGACCAGCCUGGAAUAUACUAGUCAUGUUCAUUGGGGAAUUAAGACCUCAAAAACAUAGCCAGACCCUGCCUCUACAAAAAAAUAAAAUUAAAAAAUUAGCUGGGCAUGGUGGCGUGUGCCUGUAGUCCCAGAUAUUUGGGAGGCUGAGGUGGGAAGAUCACUUGAGCCCAGGAGUUUGAGGCUCCAGUGAGUUGUGAUUGUGUCACUGCACUCCAGCCUGGUCAAGAGGGCGAGACCCGGCAUCUACAAAUUUUUUCUUUAAAUAAGAAAAGAGAAUAAAUUUUAAAAAUAAGAAAUAAAAUGAAAUGGCCCUUAAGUAUGGUGUGGAAGUACUAUUUGGCAUUCCUAGGCUCAAGAAGGCUGUGAUACACCUUACACAAAAAAUAAGUGCAUUAGAUAAGCUUAGUUCAAUGCUAAUGAAUCAAUAAUAUAUAUUUUAAAAGGUGUCUUCAAACAAAAACACAGGUAAAAUAAGGAUUUUUGUUGAUUGGUUGAUAAAAAGGUAACCAAAGACUCACAGGAACCUAACCCUGUAUUUCCCCUAGGAAAUUCAGUAUUAACUAAUAAAUUCAGGACUCACUAAUGCAGUAUUUAGGGCAAGUUUAUAGAACAUCAAUACUGUGAAUAACAAGAAUUGACUGUAUUUUCAAACUGCAGUAAAAAUGCCAUAAGUAUGUAAAAUAGGACUUGUAGGAAGACAACAAAGUAUAUUUAGAUGUAGCAGGUUCAUCUUUUUUACUUUUUUUGCAGAUGUGAGAACUUGACAAUUUCUAACCACUGGACUUAGAAUGGAGAACACAGCCAAUCUGGGUGACAGAGCAAUAUUCCGUCUCAAAAAAAAAAAAAAAUUAGCUGGACUUGGUGGCAUGCACCAGUAGUUCUAGUUACUUGGGAGGCUGAGGUGGCUGGUCAUGAACUCCUGACCUCAAGUCUCCCAAAAUGCUGGGAUUAUAGGUGUGAGCCAUUGUGCCUGGCCAGCAAUGGCAAUAUUUUCUUACUACCAACUCUCAGAAAACAUACAUUAUUCUCCAUAAUUAUCCAAUAAAUUUGGACCCAUCUGAAAAUAAGCAUCAGUCACUUUUCAGUUUAUACAUGUAUGCUAUUAGUCAUUACUCUGGUAAUAUGUGAAAUGUAAAUCAUUGCCUUAUUACUUACUGGAUAUGGGCUGUUUUUUGGUUGAGGUAUGCGUCUAAUUUAUUGGUACUACAUUAGAAAAUGCCCUACACCAAAUAUCUGCUCUGAUUGGACUAAGAUCCUACAUUUUUAUAUUUGGGAAUAUUGCUCAACUUGAGAAAGGCAAGAUGUCCCAAUCCCUGCAACAGUAACUUGGACUUUUUUUUUUUUUUUGAGACAGAGUCUUGUUCUGUCGCCCAGGCUAGAACACAGUGGCACGAUCUCGGCUCACUGCAACCUCCAUCUCGUGUGCUCAGGCGAUUCUCCAGCCUCAAGCCUCCCGAGUAGCUGUGAUUACAGGCAUGUGCCACCACACCCGGCUGAUAUUUGCAUUUUUAGUAGAGACAGGGUUUCACUAUGUUGGCCAGGCUGGUCUCGAACUCCUGACCUCAGGUGAUCCACCCACCUUGGCCUCCCAAAGUGCUUGGAUUACAGGCAUGAGCCAUGGCGUCCAGCCAAUAACUUGGACUUCUAAUUAAAGAUGUGACGUGGGCCAGUUAUGCAUAGAGGCUUCUGUCCAUAACUGUCCAAGGCGCAGAAGGGCACAGACUUUUACGCAAUGAGAGUCCCCUGACAUUCUGCUGUCUAAGACUUCAUUCUCAGAGUGCAAGGACCAGAGAAAGAACUGGGGUGGAUGCUAUUCCACGUUUGCUCUUUUCAUUAAGACUUUUCAAAGAAGACUUUAUUCCAACAUGCAUUUAAAAGAAAAAGAAAUGAAGAAUUCUUCCUUCAGGCGAAUAACUCAUAAGGGGAAAAAAACCCUUGAAUAUGAUUUAUUUCACAGGGAUCAUUGAAGAGCACGUGAAAACCGAUCUCUGUUGAAAUUCCGAAAUACUUGUUAAUGCCACCUUGAAAGAAGUAAAGAAUUUCGAAGUCAGUUAUUAAAUAAAUCCAUGACUAUUUGAACAGCUAUCUCAAUUUGGCUGGAAUGUGGCUAGAAUUCGAGUUAUGUACAUUGAGUUUGAGUAGAAUGUGGCUUUGACAAUGAGUCAACCUUAGUAUUUUCUUCCCAACAAUGAUGGAGCGGCUUGGUGAAUGCAGAGCUCCCUAGAGUAGCUUUUAGAACUCGUACUCUCCUUUCAACAACAGAUUGCUCAGUUGAGAAGUUUUAGAACUGAAUGAAAACUCAGGCAUCAUUUAGUUAUUUGUGCAACUUGAAUAUUUUUUCCAAUAAGAUAACCAAGGCCAAAAAAAUUAAGUGGAAAAAAUGUCACACAUCGAGUUAGAAAGUAGAACUAAUCUAGAUUCAAGCACUCCUAGCUACUAGUCCAGAGUUCUUAUUACUAACCUGGACCUGCAGUGAGCACCACUGACAUCCCUAACUGAGUAGUGACUUCCCUAGUAAUCUCCCUUAUCUAAUUUUACUGCAUAAACACAUUGCUAUCUGUUACAGGAAUGGGAUCUUAAUCAUGUAGAGAGAAGGGAAAACAAGGCAUGAGGAACCUUUGAACCUUAUUGCUAGGCUUCAAGUAGAGAGAUGUCAGGUUGUCUCCCGAGUCCACCCUUCCCACCCAAUUUCCUACUCUCACGAGCAUCCCAUGGGCUUUGGUCUCUCUGUGCCUCUUGUAACCAACCUAAAAUGGAGAUGCAUAAAAGUGGCCUUUUAUGCCACUUUUAAGUGGGCUAUCUUAUCUUGUAUAAGGCUAGGUCAUACUUUUGAAUAAAACAAUUUUUAUUUGAAGAGGCUGGGACCAAGAAAUAUAUAUAGCUAGAAUGGGCUGCGUACAGGGGGAAAGUUUAUUAAAAGGCCUGCGUGUGCACAGUUUCAUUAUUCUCACUCUUUUUUUUUUUUAAGACAGGGUCUCACUCUGUCACCCAGGCUGAAGUGCAGUGGCACAAUCUCGACACACUGCAGCCUCAACCUCCCCAGGCUCAGGUGAUCCUUCCACCUCAGCCUCUCCAGUACCUGGGACUACAAGUACAUGCCACCACGCCUGGCUAAUUAUUAUAAUUUUUUGCAGAGAUGGGGUUUUGCCACGUUGCCCACGCUGGUCUUGAACUCCUGGGUUCAUGUGAUCUACCCACCUCGGCCUCCCAAAGUGCUAGAAUUACAGGUGUGAGCCACCGCACCAUCCUAUUCCUACUCUUCUUUCCUUUAGUAAAGAGUAAGUAUAAACUAACAAAUUGGUUAUAGUCAGAACUGAAAUUAGCACUUAUGAUGUGGAAUCUCAAUCAAGAUUCAGAUAGCAUGUUGGUUAUAUUGUGAGGUUUUUUCAAUAUAUAUGACCAUGAAAUUUCACUCCUAGGGAGGUGAUUACUAAGUUCAAUGUUACUGAGUUUCUUACUCAAAAACUGUGUUGAUAUUUUUCCUUUCAGAAUGACAUAUUUUAUGUCAAUCAAAAUAGAAAAUAAGUCCCAAAUUGAAUGGCACUUAGAAAAAUAACUUUGAUGCCAAAUUGGAAAAGAAAGCUUCAAAAGUACUUUGAAAAUGGAGCCAAACUACCAAUUAAAGGAAAAAUUAUAGACAAAUUAAGAAUAUGCUUUUUCCAAUGACACUGAACCUCAAUCAUUUUCUCCAUAAUGACUUGAAAACCCUGUAAUUCUCAUAGAAAUCUGGCAGUCUCACCCAUUUCCCCUCAGCAGAAUAAAUAGUGAAGUAUAUGGUGUGCUUUGUAGAUCAAAAAAAUAUUGCUGUAUGAUAUAGGUGGGGGGACACAUUCCACAGUUACUCCCAAAUAUCAUCAAAAGAAAGAAAUCUGGCUGGGUGCAGUGGCUCAUGCCUAUGAUCCCAUCACCUUGGGAGGCCAAGGCAGGUGGAUUACUUGAGGUCAGGAGUUCGAGACCAGCCUGGGUAACAUGGUGAAACCCCAUAACUACUAAAAAAAAUAAAACAAAAAUUAGCUGGGUGUGGAGGCAGGCGCCCGUAAUCUCAGUUACUUAGGCGGCUGAGGCAGGAGAAUCUCUUGAACCUGGGAGGCAGAGGUUGCAGUGAGCUGAAAUCGCACCACUGCACUCCAGCCUGGGCAACAGGGUGAAAAAAAGAAAGAAAGAAAUCUAAGCUACUCUUCACAAUGCAAUAGCUUAAUCGAUUGCUGUUAUUUUUCAUGCUGGCUAAUUUUCAAAAAGAUGAAAAUAAGAAAGAUGGAUGCAUUCAUGUGAUUUAGUGACAGUGGAGUUUGUGCAAAUAAAUUGCUUUGAUGAUGAUGGAGGGAUGGGUUGUAAAUAUUUUAUCUAACAGCCCAAGAGAAUGGCAUUAUGGAAACCCAGUAAGUGGGGGAAGAUGAGCCACCUAUGACCAAGCUCAUAUGAGUGUCCCACAGCUGGAUGAGACAGUGUUCAGUGACCAAACUGACUCUUGACAUGAACCACAAUCUUCAGUUUGAAUCUAGAAUAAUUGUGCAGAACGUGAAAGGUAUACUAAGAAAGAUGAUAAAAAUCAAUUAUUCUGUUUUGAAAAAAUCAAAGAAUAUAUUAAGGAUUUUCCAUUUCUAACACCUUCCUUCUACAGUUAGGGAAACAGACCAGACUUGGGUGGACUGAGAACCAGAACUCGGCAAUCUGUGUUCUAACGCUUACUGCCCACUCCUGUGGCAGGGGGCGAUUCUUCCAUACCUGUGUUGAUUUGGGUGGUGUGGGCCUGCUGCAGAUGAUGGUAGUGGGAAGAGACUAGAGGCCUUCUCAUAGUCUUUUCCAAUCACAGCAUUGGAAAUUUAGCAUUGUAUAUAGUACGGGGCCCCAAUCUUUAGAAGUGUUGCCACUAGAUGUCAAUUUGAGUUCUUGACACUCUGCUACUCCUAAAAAUGCCCCUUGAUAAAUAUCUGCAGUGUUUGAACAUUUCCUAGAACUUCUUGAGUUAACCAAACCUGUUAGAUGAUGAAGGGUUGCAAGAACAAAAACCAAUGACUCACUGUCCCAGAACAACAUUUCUUGAGGAGAAAAACCAACCCCACUCAUUUUGCCUUCAGUGUGGUAAGCCCAGAGGGAAUGGGUGCUUGGAUUCAAGUAUUAGCCUUCAUGUUUCUGCCAAAGUGUAAUUUGCUCUGUUUUUUGAUGAAUGUUUAAAGCAAUCUUUUUGUUUUUUAAGUCAGGGAAUCACUCUGUUGCCCAAGCUGGAGUACAGUGGCACGGUCAUGGCUCACAGCAGCCUCAAACUCCAGGGCUCAAGCCAUCCUUCCACCUCAGCCUCCCGAGUAGCUAGGACUACAAAUGUGUGCCAACAGGCCGCCUCAUAUGUUUUACUUUUUUGUAGAGAAAGGAUCUUGCUCUGUUGCCCAGGGUGGUCUCAAACUCCUGGCCUCCAGUGAUCUUCUCACCUCGGUCUCCCAAACUGUUGAGAUUACAAGUGUGAACCACUGCGCCAGGCCACAAUCCUUUUUUUUUUUUUUUUUUUUUUUAAUUAUACUUUAACUUUUAGGGUACAUGUGCACAUUGUGCAGGUUAGUUACAU